AAGACUCUUGGGAGUUCCUUGGACUGCAAGGAGAUCAAACCAGUCAACUCUAAAGGAAAGCAACCCUGAAUACUUAUUGGAAGGACUGAUGUUGAAGCUGAAGCUCCAAUCUUUUGGCCACCUGAUGCAAAGAGCUGGCUCCUUGGACAAGACCCUGAUGUUGAGAAAGAAUGAAGGUCUGCUGAGGGUACAGGCAGCUUUCCAGGGCAGCUGUCUUCCAUGUGGGAGCAUAGAACCAUCCUCCCGGUUGGGAGCACAAACUAACUUGAUCAUGUGGCACUUCCGUAACAAUUCUUCCCACAAUUGUUGUGGCAGUGGAAGAGAGAGUCUGCUCAGAGUUACAGAAAGCUGCUAUUUUGCAGAAAGAGAAAUAUGUUAAAAAUAACUCACACAGAAAAUACACAAGAAGAAUAAGGCUACCUUAAAGAUAAAAAAGCCAGGCUUCAGCAAUACGUG
ensembl:lncRNA